rnacentral:rRNA from 1 species
GAGUAACACGUGACUAACCUACCCUACGGUGUGGAAUAACUCCGGGAAACCGGGGCUAAUACCGCAUAACAUCGUCGAUUCGAAAGAGUUGACGCUCAAAGGAGCAAUCCGCCGGAGGAGGGGGUCGCGGCUGAUUAGCUAGUUGGCGGGGUAACGGCCCACCAAGGCGAAGAUCGGUAUCCGGCCUGAGAGGGCGCACGGACACACUGGAACUGAAACACGGUCCAGACUCCUACGGGAGGCAGCAGUGGGGAAUUUUGCGCAAUGGGGGAAACCCUGACGCAGCAACGCCGCGUGGAGGAUGAAGCCCUUUGGGGCGUAAACUCCUUUCGACCAAGACGAUAAUGACGAUACUGGUGGAAGAAGCACCGGCUAACUCUGUGCCAGCAGCCGCGGUAAUACAGAGGGUGCAAGCGUUGUUCGGAAUUAUUGGGCGUAAAGGGCGCGUAGGCGGCGCGGUAAGUCACCUGUGAAACCUCCGGGCUUAACUCGGAGCCUGCAGGCGAAACUACCGUGCUCGAGUGUGGGAGAGGUGCGUGGAAUUCCCGGUGUAGCGGUGAAAUGC